rnacentral:rRNA from 1 species
AGAGUUUGAUCCUGGCUCAGAACGAACGCUGGCGGCAGGCCUGAGGCAUGCAAGUCGAACGAGAAAUCACCUUCGGGUGAGAGUAGAGUGGCGCACGGGUGAGUAACACGUGGGAACCUACCCAAAAGUGGGGGAUAACCAUUGGAAACGAUGGCUAAUACCGCAUACGCCCUUCGGGGGAAAGCUUUAGUGCUUUGGAUGGGCCCGCGCUAGAUUAGCUAGUUGGUAAGGUAAAAGCUUACCAAGGCGAUGAUCUAUAGCUGGUUUGAGAGGAUGAUCAGCCACACUGGGACUGAGACACGGCCCAGACUCCUACGGGAGGCAGCAGCUAGGAAUAUUGCACAAUGGGGGAAACCCUGAUGCAGCCAUGCCGCGUGAGUGAAGAAGGCCUUCGGGUUGUAAAGCUCUUUCAGUAGUGAAGAUGAUGACGGUAACUACAGAAGAAGCACCGGCUAACUUCGUGCCAGCAGCCGCGGUAAUACGAAGGGUGCUAGCGUUGUUCGGAUUUACUGGGCGCAAAGCGUAUGUAGGCGGUUUGUUUGGUCAGAUGUGAAAUCCCAGGGCUCAACCCUGGAACUGCAUUUGAUACCGGCAAGCUAGAGUAUGAUAGAGGACAAUGGAAUUCUAAGUGUAGAGGUGAAAUUCGUAGAUAUUUAGAGGAACACCAGUGGCGAAAGCGAUUGUCUGGAUCAUUACUGACGCUGAGAUACGAAAGCGUGGGGAGCAAACAGGAUUAGAUACCCUGGUAGUCCACGCCGUAAACGAUGUGUGCUCGUUGUUAGGAACUUCGGUUCUUAGUGACUUAGCUAACGCGUUAAGCACACCGCCUGGGGAGUACGGCCGCAAGGCUAAAACUUAAAGGAAUUGACGGGGACCCGCACAAGCGGUGGAGCAUGUUCUUUAAUUCGAAGAUACGCGAAGAGCCUUACCGGCUCUUGACAUCCUGAUCGCGACUUAUAGAGAUAUAAGUUUUCAAUCCGGUUGGAUCAGUGACAGAUGUUGCAUGGCCGUCGUCAGCUCGUGUCGUGAGAUGUUGGGUUAAGUCCCGCAACGAGCGCAACCCUCGCCAUUUGUUGCCAACACGUAAAGGUGGGAACUCUAAUGGAACUGCCGGUGUUAAACCGGAGGAAGGUGGGGAUGACGUCAGGUCGUCAUGGCUCUUACGAGCCGGGCUAGAAACGUGCUACAAUGGCACCUACAAUGAGUUAUUGCUAACCUGCAAGGGUAAGCUAAUCUGAUAAAAGGUGUCUCAGUUCGAAUUGUCCUCUGCAACUCGAGGGCAUGAAGUUGGAAUCGCUAGUAAUCGUAGGUCAGCAUACUACGGUGAAUACGUUCCCGGGUCUUGUACACACCGCCUGCCAAGCCAUGGAAGUUGGUUUUACCAGAAGUCAGUAGGAUAACCUUCGGGAGUCCGCUGCCCACGGUAAGAUUAGUAACUGGGGUUAAGGCAUAACAAGGUA